GUAGGCGAUGGAUAACAGGUUGAUAUUCCUGUACCACCUAUAAUCGUUUUAAUCGAUGGGGGGACGCAGUAGGAUAGGCGAAGCGUGCGAUUGGAUUGCACGUCUAAGCAGUAAGGCUGAGUAUUAGGCAAAUCCGGUACUCAUUAAGGCUGAGCUGUGAUGGGGAGAAGACAUUGUGUCUUCGAGUCGUUGAUUUCACACUGCCGAGAAAAGCCUCUAGAUAGAAAAUAGGUGCCCGUACCGCAAACCGACACAGGUAGUCAAGAUGAGAAUUCUAAGGUGAGCGAGCGAACUCUCGUUAAGGAACUCGGCAAAAUGACCCCGUAACUUCGGGAGAAGGGGUGCUCUUUAGGGUUAACGCCCAGAAGAGCCGCAGUGAAUAGGCCCAAGCGACUGUUUAUCAAAAACACAGGUCUCUGCUAAACCGUAAGGUGAUGUAUAGGGGCUGACGCCUGCCCGGUGCUGGAAGGUUAAGAGGAGUGGUUAGCUUCUGCGAAGCUACGAAUCGAAGCCCCAGUAAACGGCGGCCGUAACUAUAACGGUCCUAAGGUAGCGAAAUUCCUUGUCGGGUAAGUUCCGACCCGCACGAAAGGCGUAACGAUUUGGGCACUGUCUCAACGAGAGACUCGGUGAAAUCAUAGUACCUGUGAAGAUGCAGGUUACCCGCGACAGGAC
rnacentral:rRNA from 1 species